rnacentral:rRNA from 1 species
GAUGAACGCUAGCUACAGGCUUAACACAUGCAAGUCGAGGGGCAGCGCAGUGUAGCAAUACAUGGGCGGCGACCGGCGCACGGGUGCGUAACGCGUAUCCAACCUUCUCGUUACUCUUGGAUAGCCUUCCGAAAGGGAGAUUAAUACAAGAUGGUAUUCAAAUUCCGCAUGUUAUUUGAAUUAAAGAUUUAUCGGUAACGGAUGGGGAUGCGUGACAUUAGAUAGUAGGCGGGGUAACGGCCCACCUAGUCUACGAUGUCUAGGGGUUCUGAGAGGGAGGUCACCCACACUGGAACUGAGACACGGUCCAGACUCCUACGGGAGGCAGCAGUGAGGAAUAUUGGUCAAUGGGCGGAAGACUGAACCAGCCAAGUAGCGUGAAGGAUGAAGGUUCUAUGGAUUGUAAACUUCUUUUAUACGGGAAUAAAACACCUUACGUGUAGGGUCUUGUAUGUACCGUAUGAAUAAGCAUCGGCUAACUCCGUGCCAGCAGCCGCGGUAAUAC